rnacentral:lncRNA from 1 species
GUGAGACUGUGAAUUCUUCAAAAGCAGGUACUGUGUUUAAUGAAGUGUGCCCAGGACUUUGCUCAGUGACUGGAUGACACAGUAGGAGUAACAAGAAAGUUCACAUGGGUGAACCGUGGUAGGUGGACAUCGUCUCUCUCACCUCUUCCCAAAUCAAGGAUGAAGUACAUCUUCAUAAAUCCUCAUGUGAAUUAUUUUGCUACCUCUAGAAGCAUUUUCUAAAACAAGGUGCAGCAAUCAGUUGAGUGAAUUUGUCACCAGAGCUUAUGUUUUCUGAAAGAACCCUAUCCUCAGGCAGUUGUUCCUAAGAGGUCAGGCUGCAUUUGUAUCCUGGGUCCACAAGACAUCGUUUCCUUAAAACCAAUCCCCCUGAUUUUGCUAAGUGUCUGCAAGCCUAAUAUUUCAUGGAUGUUUGACAAGGACCCCGUCUUUAGCUGAACUAAGGAGAAAGUCCUGCAACACACACAUGGAGCUCAGCAAACGGAGGAUGUAGUAGACGCACAUGAAAUUUGGUGCUGUGACUCGGAUUGGGGGACCUCCCUUGGGAGAUCAAUCCCCUGUCCUCCUGUUCUUUGCUCCAUGGGAAAGAUCCACCUACGACCUCAGGUCCUCAGACCGACCAGCCCAAGGAACAUCUCACCAAUUUUAAAUCGGGACCCCACUGGAAAUCGGACUGUUCAACUCACCUGGCAGCCACUCACAGAGCCCGUGGAACUCUGGCCCAAGGCUCUCUGACUCCUUCUCGGCUUAGCGGCUAAAGACUGACACUGCCCGAUCGCCUCGGAAGCCCCGUAGACCAUCACGGACGCCGAGCUUUAGGUAACUCUCACAGUGGAGGAUGAAGAAACUGAGGUCCAGAGAAGUUAAACGACCUUCCUAAGAUUACACAGCUUAGUAAGUGGCAGAACCACAGCUGGAAGCCAGGUCCUUCCUCACGCAAGUCCUGGCUCAUUCAUUCCUCUUCCAAAGACUUGCUGAGCACCUUCUAGGUGCCAGAUGCGGUGCUGGCUCCUGGGGACAUGGGAGUGAACAGGCCAGGCGUGGCCCUGAACCAUCAAAUAGACAACCACAGAAAUAACAACGAAUGAUGCUGGAGGCUGACGAAGAUAAGGGUGGAAAGUGGGCAAUAAAUCAGGAGCUGUUGCAACAUUCCCAGCAAAGGAUAAUGGUGAAUAACAAAGACAAAACCGGGCCCUUCCACACAGUAGCUGGAACACAAAGGAAGAUCAGCCAAGCCUCAACAUAAUCUCAUAAAAAUUCUUCAAAUAUCCCAUUGUUAUGGAUUCAUACAUCAGGAAAGCAGACCACUAUGGGCAACUUCCUGUCUAUUCUACCUGGUGUCACUGUGGACAACUUCCUAUCUAUUCCACCCGAUUCACCGCUUGGCUACAUCCUCCACCAUUGGGAUGAAUUUGACCCUAACAAUCUAAAGAAAAGGCAUAUGAUUUUUUACUGCAAUAUUGUUUGACACAAUUAUGAGCUGCCCAAUCCGGAACAAUGGGCAGUCAAUGGUAGCCUUAAUUAUGAUACCAUCCUGUAUCUAGACCUAUUUUACAAGAGGCAGGGCAAAUGGUCAGAAGUCCCACAUAUACAGGCCUACAUGACCCUAUACGAAGACCUAAGAAUCUAGGAAACUCCCAGAACCCAUCCCCCGAAGGAAAGUUCUGGGGCAGAACUAGAUAUUAUAGAUGAACCCCCUUUUACAAGGGAUACCUGUCUCUCAGAGUGAGCAGUGACUGUCCCCAUAUAACCCCUCACCAAGUGCUCCUGAGGCUGAAACCCAGGGGCAAACAUGGGGAACCCUACUAAGUCCCCCUCACACUUGGAGGGGAACACUGUAUUCAACUCUCUAUCCAGCCCUGCUACUCUCAGAGAAAUAGCAGGGGCUGAGGGGCCAAUCCUAGUGUGGGUCCCCUUCUCUAUGAUUGAUAUACAACAAUGUAAGGAAAAGCUAGGAAGCUAUUCUGAGGAUUCCGGGAAGUUUGCAGAUGGGUUCCAAACUUUGACCUUAGCCUUUGAUCUCUCAUGGAGAGACGUUCAAUUCACUCUAGCAACCUGUUGCACCUCCUCGGAAAAGGAACGAAUCUUUGAGGCUGCCCUCCGAGAAGUGGACGAAUUAUUCACCCAAAACCGUAAAGGCAGUCACCCAGGCCCAGCCACAGUUCCCACUACGCAUCCUAAUUGAGACCAAGACACCCCCGCAGGAAGGAACAACUGGGCUAAAUUUCUUGAGGCUCUUGGAGGAAUGAGAAAGGGAAUAACUAAGGCAGUAAAUUAUGAUAAAGUAAGGCAGAUUACACAAGGCAGGGAGGAAAACCCAGCUGUGUUUUACGGCAGGCUGCGGGAAGCCUUUAAAAAAUAUAUACUAAUUUGGUCCCUUCCUCUCCUGAAGGCAAGUUAUUAAUGGCACAACGUUUCAUUAGCCAAUCCACACCAGACAUUAGACGUAAGCUCCAAAAGCUACACAUGGGGCCACAAACUAACCAAAAUCAGCUUCUUGGUACUGCCUUCAUGGUGUAUAACAAUCGUGACCUGGAGGAAGGAGAAGGGAAACAGAGUAAAGAAAAACGGCAAGCCAAAAUUAUGUUAGCCAUCACUGGUGAUGCCCUAAAUGCACAAAGAUUGUCCAAGGGAAACUCAAAGGGCCAUAAGGAUAAUGCCAGCAAAGGCUCUUGCUUCAAAUGCAAUAAAAGUGCGAUUGGGCACAGGAAUCCACUAAGCCCCCGCCAGUCCCCUGCCGUCAAUGUAAAAGCACCAGUUGUGGCUCCUGGCCCUGGAGAAUUGACUGUCCCUGCUCCCACCAAGGGGCUCAGUCAGUCAAAACUCUGGCAGUGCACAAGGAGGAAUCAGAUGAAGACUGAAGGGGCCUGGGGCCUUCCUCACUGCCCCGUCUAGGAACAUUGUAAUUACUACUGAGGAACCCUGGGUAACUCUGGACAUCAUGGCCACCCAAAUUCAGUUUUUAUGUGAUACCAAGGUGAAUUAUUCUGUACAACUGCUUAUGCAGGAAAACUUUCCUCCCGGUCCAUGAGUGAUAUUGGAUGGAAGGGAAGCCACAAACAAGAUUCUUACUCCUCCUUUGGUUUGUCAAUUUGAGAAACAAAUCUUCCAACAGGAAUUUUUAGUAGUACCAAGCUGCCCAAUUCCCCUGUGGGAAAGAGAUAUUAUGGUGAAAAUAGUGACACUACUGCAAUUUAAGCAAUAUUAGCAGGUGAAACUGCUAAUAGUAAGAAAUAAGGCAAUGUCCCAGACCAUGUCAAUAAACAGGUUAACCCACUGGCAUGGUAUACUGGAAACCCAGGGAAGGCUAAAACAGCAGUGCCAGUCAAAAUACAGCUUAAAGACCCCAGCCAUUUUCCCAAUGGAAAACAAUACCCAGUUGAACAGGAAGCAAGCAAAGGUCUAGCUCCCAUAGUUGAGAUAUUACUUACCCAUGGACUCUUAAAACCCUGCAAUUCUCCCUGCAAUACCCCCAUCUUACCUGUUCUCAAGCCUGGGGGGAAUACCAGCUAGUACAGAACCUCAGAAUAAUGAAUGAGGCUGUUAUCCCCGUCCACCCAUUGGUGGCAGAUCCAUAUGCCCUCCUGGCUCAGGUGCCAGGGCAUGCAAAAUGGUUCUCAGUCCUAGACCUUUCUUCUCCAUUCCUCUGGCCCCGAGCCCCCCAGUACCUUUUUGCUUUCGAAUGGGAAAAUCCUAAUACCAGAUAAAAACAAUACACUUGGACAGUGCUUCCUCAGGGCUUUCGGGAUAGCCCCCACUUCUUUGCCUGAGCAUUAGAGCGGGAUCUGAGGGAUUUCAAGUUAGAAAAUGGAGGUAUUCUUCAGUAUGGGGAUGACCUUGUGUGUAGCCCAACCUAGGAGGUUUCUGACCAAAAUACUAUAAAAACUUUGAAUUUCCUGGCAGACAGAGGAUACAAAGUGUCCAAAAAGAAGGCUCAGAUUACCCUCCAAUGGGUCCACUAUUUAGGAUAUGUCUUAACACCCGGAACCCGGCAAAUAUCCCCAGAAGGAGUGCAAGCUAUAUGUGGUUUGGCCGCGUGCACCACCCCCAGCCCCCACCCUGACCCACCUCCAAGCAGCAGCUUUGUUCCUUUUUGGGGAUGGCCGGGCUUUGGAGAAUAUGAGUACCAAAUUUUGGGCUCAUAGCAAAGCCCCUAUAUGAAGCAACAAGGGGGCCUGAAAAUGAGCUAAUGGAAUGGACCCCGGAAAUGAGGAAAGCCUUUGCCAAGUUAAAACAGGUUCUCACCCAGGCUCCUGCUCUUGGUAUCCCAGACCUAAUUAAGGCCUUCUCCUUGUAUGUAGCAGAGAAGAGGGGCAUAGCUGUGGGAGUGCUAGCCCAGAAAUUAGGAUCAGAACCCAGACCAACCGCCUACUUCUCAAAAAAGUUGGACGGAGUGGCCUCAGGAUGGCCAAGUUGCCUGCGGGCAAUAGCAGCCACUGCUGUUAGUGGAGGAAGCCACUAAAAUCACCCUAGGGCAACCACUGGAAGUUCUAACGCUCCAUCAGGUAAAGUUAGUCUUAGAAAUAAAGGGACACAUCUGGAUGACAGGGGAAAUGUUAACUAAAUACCAGCCCAUGCUCCUAGACAAUCCAGAUAUAACUCUUAAAACCUGCAACACUUUAAAUCCAGCUUCAUUGCUGCCCACAGGCCCAAUAAUUGAUCAUUCCUGUGAGCAGGUCAUUGCACAUACAUAUGUUAGCCAGCCUGAUUUAAAAGAUGAGGCUCUCCCAGAUUCUGAAGCUGACCGGCUCACAGACGGCAGUAGUUCUUUGUCGAAUGGGGAGCACAGAGCUGGAUAUGCAGCAGUAAAUCAUGACACAAUUAUUGAAGCCCAGCCAGUGCCCCCUGGCACAUCAGCACAAAAGGCUAAAAUCAUUGAUCUUACUCAAGCAUUAAUGUUGGGACAAGGGAAAAAACUUAACAUCUAUACAGAUUCUAAAUAUGCAUUCCUUGUGGUUCAUGCUCAUACCGCCAUCAGGAAAGAAAGGGGAUUACUUACUAGCAAGCACUCCCCUAUAGAGCAUGGACCUGAAAUUCUGCAGCUAUUGAAGGCAAUACACCUGCCAAAGGCCAUAGCUAUCAUUCAUUGUAGGGGGCAUCAAAGGGACUUAACCCCUAUAGCACAAGGGAAUGGAAAGGCUGACGGAAGCCAAAGCAAAAGCCCUCAGCGUGCAAUCCCAACAGAUCCUAGCACUGCUUCCUUUCUACAAUUCCCCAGUAGAACCCAAAUACACACCACAGGAAGAACAGCUAAUAAAAAAAGCAAGGGAGACAAAAACAAGGAUCCUGGUGGCAUAUGGAGCCAAAAAUAUAUCUCCCUCAGGCAGCCCAGUGGAGAGUUAUAAAAGCCCUGCAUGACUCUUUCCAUGUGGGGAGGGAUGCGGCUCUGGCCAUGGUAAACAAGUUCUUUACUGGGUUUAACUCAGCUUCAAUGGCUAAGCAGGUCUGUCAAGCCUGCUCACUGUGUGCAUUUAACAAUCCAGGCAUCAAAAUGCCCCCUCUAAUAAAACCAGUCCAAAGGAGGGGAACUUAUCCAGGGGAAGACUGGCAGUUAGACGUCAUCCAUAUGCCAGCUUGCAGAGGAUACAAGCUUUUGUUAAUACUAAUAGAUACUUUUAGGUUGGGUCAAAGGUUACCCCAGAAAAGGCUAAUGAGGUUCUAAGGUCCUCUUAAAAGAAAUAAUUCCCCAGUUUGGGUUACCUCAGGGUCUCCAAAGUGAUAAUGGCUAAUCCUUUAUCUCCCAAAUAACUCAAGGGGUUGCUAAGGCUCUUGGAAUAAAAUACUAUUUACAUUCAGCCUGGAGGCCCCAAUCCUCUGGAAAAGUGGAAAGGGUUAACCAAACUCUAAAAUAAGCACUAGCUAAACUAUGUCAGGAAACAUCAGAAACUUGGGUUAGCUUAUUGCUCACAGCCCUUUUAAGAAUUUGUAAUACCCCUAGCUCAAAAAUUAACAGAAGCCCAUAUAAAAUGUUAUACAGAAGGCCAUUCUUAACUAAUGAUUUAAUUAUUGACCCAGAAAGAGUUGGUGUAAUUAAAUACCUAGUCAACCCAGAACAAUUCCAGCGGGUUUACAAGAGUUUGGAAUUCAAAGGCUCCUCACACUUGGAACUAACCAGCAACCCAAAAUCAGGCCAGGAGAUAGGGUACUUGUUAAAACAUGGAAUGAGGGAUCACCUGCCCAACAAUUACAACCCCAAUAGAAGGGACUUUUUUCAGUAAUACUGGCCACGUCUUCUGUGGUCAAAGUACUAGUAUUAGAUAGCUGGAUACAUCUUUCAAGGAUCAAACCAUCAAUACCAGAAGCUCCAGACCAGGAACCUGAAGUUCCCAUCAGCCAGUACACCUGUGAACCAGUGGAGGACCUGAAGUACCUGUUUAAAAGAUAGCCAAAAGAUAAGUAAAUGCCUACCAACUUUCUUUGGUGUCUUUGUUGCAUAGUUACUGUGGGCUGGAAAAUAGUAGCCAUUUUUAUCUUUGCAGUUUAAUUGCCUUCUUCCAAAUAGAUAAAAAUCACUUCCUUUGUAAUAAUUAAACAGAAUUUAAAAAAUACAUUUCUAUGACAAAUAUUCCUGAUGGCAUAAGUAUCCACCCCAAGGUUCCCAUUAAAUCUUUUAACCUAAAGUAUUUCCUCUCACCUAGAGAUCAUCGAGCUGUGUGACAAGGGUGCCAGCCACUCCAGGUGAAGACACCACCCCAGGCCAUCAAGGAUCUUCCCUACCUUCACUAAACAGAGCAGGGUGAAAGUUGUGUGAUCCCCAAUAGGUAGGGACUACACCCCAAGUCAGCAGGAAGCAGUUACAGAAGAAAGACCAUUGGUCCCUCUGCUUCCCAUAAAGAUUUAUGGGGAUCACAGCUUUCACGGGGGAGAUGAGGCAAGAGAAUAGGGCAUGCAGGCAGGGUACUUGAGGCCAAUCCACGCUGACUUCCUAGAACUGAAUUAAAUGAAAGCUCCUCAGCAAUGACAGGAAUGUGAAUGGCUUUGUAACUUCUUCCUCUCCAUUAAUGCUAUUUCCACUUUGUAACUUCACUUUCAUCCUCUCCAUUUACAUAGAUCACACACCAAGUAACAUCCUCUCCAUUUACAGUAGGGCGCAUUCCGAGUCAAUGACUCUGACUGCACUUCGUUCUCCUCAUUUACAUAGAACAUUCGCCAAGUAACCAAUGGGAAACCUCUAGAGUAUUGAAACUCCAGAAAAUUCCGUAAGUGGGGCUCUUGAGCGUCUACACUCGGGUCGCUCCCACACUGUGGCGUGUACUUUUAUUCUCAAUAAAUUCCCGCUUUUGCUUUCCUCGUUC